AUUGAACGCUGGCGGAAUGCCUUACACAUGCAAGUCGAACGGUAGCGGGCCUUCGGGUGCCGACGAGUGGCGAACGGGUGAGUAAUGCAUCGGAACGUGCCAUUGAGUGGGGGAUAACGUAGCGAAAGUUACGCUAAUACCGCAUAUUCUGUGAGCAGGAAAGCAGGGGACCGCAAGGCCUUGCGCUCUUUGAGCGGCCGAUGUCAGAUUAGCUAGUUGGUGAGGUAAAGGCUUACCAAGGCGACGAUCUGUAGCGGGUCUGAGAGGAUGAUCCGCCACACUGGAACUGAGACACGGUCCAGACUCCUACGGGAGGCAGCAGUGGGGGAAUUUUGGGACAAUGGGGGCAACCCUGAUCCAGCCAUGCCGCGUGAGUGAAGAAGGCCUUCGGGUUGUAAAGC
rnacentral:rRNA from 1 species